ACAGCAGUCGCCACGGUAAUACGUAGGUGGUAAGCGUUGUCCGGAAUUAUUGGGCGUAAAGGGCUCGCAGGCGGUUUCUUAAGUCUGAUGUGAAAGCCCCCGGCUCAACCGGGGAGGGUCAUUGGAAACUGGGAAACUUGAGUGCAGAAGAGGAGAGUGGAAUUCCACGUGUAGCGGUGAAAUGCGUAGAGAUGUGGAGGAACACCAGUGGCGAAGGCGACUCUCUGGUCUGUAACUGACGCUGAGGAGCGAAAGCGUGGGGAGCGAACAGGAUUAGAUACCCGCGUAGUCCCUGUCUCUUAUAC
rnacentral:rRNA from 1 species